AGCGAACGCUGGCGGCAGGCCUAACACAUGCAAGUCGAACGGACCCUUCGGGGUUAGUGGCGGACGGGUGAGUAACACGUGGGAACGUGCCUUUAGGUUCGGAAUAGCUCCUGGAAACGGGUGGUAAUGCCGAAUGUGCCCUUCGGGGGAAAGAUUUAUCGCCUUUAGAGCGGCCCGCGUCUGAUUAGCUAGUUGGUGAGGUAACGGCUCACCAAGGCGACGAUCAGUAGCUGGUCUGAGAGGAUGACCAGCCACACUGGGACUGAGACACGGCCCAGACUCCUACGGGAGGCAGCAGUGGGGAAUCUUGCGAAAUGGGCGAAAGCCUGACGCAGCCAUGCCGCGUGAAUGAUGAAGGUCUUAGGAUUGUAAAAUUCUUUCACCGGGGACGAUAAUGACGGUACCCGGAGAAGAAGCCCCGGCUAACUUCGUG
rnacentral:rRNA from 1 species